CUAUGCGCCUUGCCCAGCCCGCUCAGUCAGAGUUUGAUCCUGGCUCAGGAUGAACGCUGGCGGCGUGCCUAAUACAUGCAAGUCGAGCGAACGGAUAAGGAGCUUGCUCCUUUGAAGUUAGCGGCGGACGGGUGAGUAACACGUGGGUAACCUACCUAUAAGACUGGAAUAACUUCGGGAAACCGGAGCUAAUGCCGGAUAACAUAUAGAACCGCAUGGUUCUAUAGUGAAAGAUGGUUUUGCUAUCACUUAUAGAUGGACCCGCGCCGUAUUAGCUAGUUGGUAAGGUAAUGGCUUACCAAGGCGACGAUACGUAGCCGACCUGAGAGGGUGAUCGGCCACACUGGAACUGAGACACGGUCCAG
rnacentral:rRNA from 1 species